AGUGAACGCUGGCGGCAGGCCUAACACAUGCAAGUCGAGCGGCAGCGGGUCCCCGCGAGGGGAUGCCGGCGAGCGGCGGACGGGUGAGGAACACAUCGGAAUCUGCCUGGUUGUAGGGGGAUAACGUAGGGAAACUUACGCUAAUACCCGCAUGCGACCCUGAGUCGACGGACUGGGGGUGAAAGUGAGGACCUUCGGGCCUCACGCGACCAGAUGAGCCGAUGUCGGAUUAGCUAGUUGGCGGGGUAACGGCCCGCCAAGGCGACGAUCCGUAGCUGGUCUGAGAGGAUGAUCAGCCACACUGGGGACUGAGACACGGCCCAGACUCCUACGGGAGGCAGCAGUAGGGAAUCUUGCACAAUGGACGAAAGUCUGAUGCAG
rnacentral:rRNA from 1 species